rnacentral:rRNA from 1 species
UACGAAGGGGGCUAGCGUUGCUCGGAAUCACUGGGCGUAAAGGGUGCGUAGGCGGGUCUUUAAGUCAGGGGUGAAAUCCUGGAGCUCAACUCCAGAACUGCCUUUGAUACUGAGGAUCUUGAGUUCGGGGAGGAGGUGAGUGGAACUGCGAGUGUAGAGGUGAAAUUCGUAGAUAUUCGCAAGAACACCAGUGGCGAAGGCGGCUCACUGGCCCGAUACUGACGCUGAGGCACGAAAGCGUGGGGAGCAAACAGG